GCCCAGGUGGUGAAAUGGUAUACACGAGGGACUUAAAAUCCCUUGACCUUGUGUCGUGCGGGUUCGAGUCCCGCCCUGGGCACUA
rnacentral:tRNA from 1 species